GCAAAGUUAUUUGAUAAAAUAAGCAACACAAGGAUCAUAGUACAACAUUCCUGUACAAUUCUGUGUCAGCUUUGAAUACAUAUGAGUACAUUUCUUAUGUAUGGACAGCAAUUCUCUUCAGUGAAUACUCCAAACAAAAUUUGGGAAUAGUAAAUAUAAUGAACUCAUCCAUCAAAAGGGAGGACCAACAAGUAGUAGAACAGAUCAUCUAAACAUUAUCUCCACCAUCCAAA
rnacentral:misc_RNA from 1 species